rnacentral:rRNA from 1 species
GAUGAACGCUGGCGGCGUGCUUAACACAUGCAAGUCGAACGAUGAAGCCCAGCUUGCUGGGUGGAUUAGUGGCGAACGGGUGAGUAACACGUGAGUAACCUGCCCUUGACUCUGGGAUAAGCCUGGGAAACUGGGUCUAAUACUGGAUAUGACUUCUCAUCGCAUGGUGGGGGGUGGAAAGAUUUAUUGGUCUUGGAUGGACUCGCGGCCUAUCAGCUUGUUGGUGAGGUAAUGGCUCACCAAGGCGACGACGGGUAGCCGGCCUGAGAGGGGGACCGGCCACACUGGGACUGAGACACGGCCCAGACUCCUACGGGAGGCAGCAGUGGGGAAUAUUGCACAAUGGGCGCAAGCCUGAUGCAGCGACGCCGCGUGGGGGAUGACGGCCUUCGGGGUGUAAACCUCUUUCAGUAGGGAUGAAGCGAGAGUGACGGUACCUGCAGAAGAAGCGCCGGCUAACUACGU